GUGCUCGCUUUGGCAGCACACAUAGUAAAAUUGGAACGAUACAAAAGAUUAGCAUGGCCCCUGCGCAAGGAUGAUAUGCAAAUUCGUGAAGCGUUCCAUAUUUUU